UGGGGAAUAUUGCACAAUGGGCGAAAGCCUGAUGCAGCAACGCCGCGUGAGUGAUGAAGGUCUUCGGAUUGUAAAGCUCUGUCUUUUGGGACGAUAAUGACGGUACCAAAGGAGGAAGCCACGGCUAACUACGUGCCAGCAGCCGCGGUAAUACGUAGGUGGCGAGCGUUGUCCGGAUUUACUGGGCGUAAAGGGUGCGUAGGCGGAUGUUUAAGUGAGAUGUGAAAUACCCGGGCUUAACUUGGGUGCUGCAUUUCAAACUGGAUAUCUAGAGUGCAGGAGAGGAGAAUGGAAUUCCUAGUGUAGCGGUGAAAUGCGUAGAGAUUAGGAAGAACACCAGUGGCGAAGGCGAUUCUCUGGACUGUAACUGACGCUGAGGCACGAAAGCGUGGGUAGCGAACAGGAUUAGAUACCCUGGUAG
rnacentral:rRNA from 1 species